AGUCACUGACAUUAGAUACCCCGGUAGUCCAGGGUGUAAACGCUGCAGACUUGGUGUUGGGGACCCUACGGGGGUGUUCAGUGCCGGAGAGAAGUUGUUAAGUCUGCUACUUGGGAGUACGUCCGCAAGGAUGAAACCUAAAGGAAUUGGCGGGGGAGCACCGCAACGGGAGGAGCGUGCGGUUUAAUUGGAUUCAACACCGUAAAACUCACCAGGGAAGACUGUUACAUGAAGGCCGAGAUGAAGACUCUGCUAGAUUUUCAG
rnacentral:rRNA from 1 species